rnacentral:tRNA from 1 species
GUCAGGAUAGCNCAGUUGGUAGAGCAGAGGACUGAAAAUC